rnacentral:tRNA from 1 species
GCGGGAUUAGUUAAGCGGUUUAAUGCCACCUUCCCAAGGUGGAGAGACGGGUUCGACUCCCGUAUCCCGCUCCU